rnacentral:rRNA from 1 species
ACAUGCAAGUCGAGCGGAUGAAUGGAGCUUGCUCCAUGAUUCAGCGGCGGACGGGUGAGUAAUGCCUAGGAAUCUGCCUGGUAGUGGGGGACAACGUUUCGAAAGGAACGCUAAUACCGCAUACGUCCUACGGGAGAAAGUGGGGGAUCUUCGGACCUCACGCUAUCAGAUGAGCCUAGGUCGGAUUAGCUAGUUGGCGAGGUAAAGGCUCACCAAGGCGACGAUCCGUAACUGGUCUGAGAGGAUGAUCAGUCACACUGGAACUGAGACACGGUCCAGACUCCUACGGGAGGCAGCAGUGGGGAAUAUUGGACAAUGGGCGAAAGCCUGAUCCAGCCAUGCCGCGUGUGUGAAGAAGGUCUUCGGAUUGUAAAGCACUUUAAGUUGGGAGGAAGGGCAGUAAGUUAAUAC